CGAACACACCAGGAGCGACAGAGACCAGUACGUCCAGAUCAACUGGCAGAAUAUUCCACAAGCAUCUGCAUACAACUUUCAGAAGAAGGACACAAAUAAUCUGAAUACCCCUUAUGACUACAGCUCUAUCAUGCAUUAUGGAAGGACUGCCUUCGCCAUACAAUAUGGCAAGGAAACCAUCACUCCAAUUCCUAACCCUUCAGUGCAGAUUGGACAGAGAAAGGAAAUGUCUAACAUUGACAUUCAGAGGAUCAACAAGCUCUAUGAGUGUGCUCUUUAAAAUGAACACUGAAGAUCAAACCCCAGUGAAAUACAGACUGUGACAAAAUAAAAGAAUUACUGUACUGUAUAACCAAAGUACAUUUUUCCUUCCUCCUUUGUAUGUAACUUGACCACAUAAAUGUAAUGGACUGACUGCAGUGCUGAAUUGCAAUAUACCUUGUUACGAUUGAGUCCUGAUGUGGUUAUGUGUUAGUUCCUAACAGGGUUGAACUUCUCGAGUUACUUAAUAAGUUAAGGGAAAAUACACACACCACACUCACGAGCCGUGUGAACGCAGAUUACCUGUUAGAGAUGAAUCUACACAUUAUGAAUGCCUGUUUCUGCCUCAAAGUAAAAAAAAAAAUGUAAAAAAAACUCAAGAGAAAUAAAGUCGCAAUUAUGAAAAAAAGACUUUCAUUUGUGAUAUGUAAAGUCACAAGUACGAGAAAUUAGCAAUUAAAAGACUGAGAUUUAAAAU
rnacentral:lncRNA from 1 species